CUGGACUUAGUAAGGAAGGGGGAGAAGAUCAUGCUUACUUGCUACAUCCCCCUUUUAUUCCUGAUGAGGAUGGUUGGUGUUAGGGAAGGAGGUUGGGAUCCACCUGGGUGCUUGCAUGUGCAAGCAGAAGCAGGUUUUUGGAAGCACUCUGGUAUCAUGGAGCUCCAUAAGAAACCAACUUAGAGAGCACAUCUCUGAGGAUGGGAAAUGAAAUAAGUGACUCUUUCAACAAGAAUUACAUAUUACUGUAGCUUUGGCAUUAUCAAGAUCUAGUUUAUCAGGCCUCACUGGCCCUUUGCAGAGGAUGAAGCUGAUACGGUACAGCGCUGCUUCACCUGGACACCAUGCCAUGCCUCCACCUGCCGCACGCCCAGCCGCUCAGACGUCUGAUCCUUCAUCAACAGGCACAGCAGUGUGCGGUGAUGGGGAACGUGACUCCAACAUAUUUUGCAGGUAUCGUCCUCUAAACAGCACUGUCUGGUUUCACUUCCAAGAAAUUAGACCAAAUUGAAUUGUUUUGCACUGAGUUGCAGUGAGGCAGUACUGUCAGUUUAAUUAGCUCUUAACUCCAAGCUCGAAGCUUCUAAUAAAGGUGCUUGGGAGUGUAUGGGUAACGGAAAGAAAACAAAUGAUGGCAGAGCUGUUUCUAAUGAGGAUGAAGCAGCAUUCUUCAGAAAGGAUUGGUGUAGGGAGAACAUCUCAGCCCUUCACCAAGCUCACAAUCAGCUGUGUGAUCUGGAGCAUAGGGAGUGGGGAAAUCAGCUGGAAAAUGUUACACGUUGUGUUGGGCCUCGCACAAACAAAUGUAGGGGUAAAAUGUCCCCUGCACAAAAGAUCAGCAUAGGCAGGACCACAUCAUAAGCUUUACUUUUCAGUGUUGUUAGCGGAUUUAGGCAACACAGACCCUAUGUUGGCCCAUUAAACCAUGUCAGAUGGAAUCUUUAACAAUUUUAAAGGAAAGAUUCCUAGAGACAUGUCAUGUAUAAAGACAAAUCUCUCAGGAGGGAUUGAAUUUGCAGAAGAGGAAUUGACUGCAAACACCAAAUUCACAGUUGCUUACGUACUGACCAGAGCCCACAGGCUGUUCGAGCCUGCACAGAUGGGAAUGGAGGUGAGAGUUUGUCUCUGACAGCACCGCUGCUGUCAGGGUUUUUUCACAUAUAAAGUCAAUCUGAACCGCAAGCAGUGGGACUGGAGCAGCCUUCAGAGGCUCUGAAAUCCCCAUUCACUCCUGUAUUAACGAACUGCUCUUAUUCUAUUUUUGCCUCUCUGCAUUCUCACCGCAGGGAAUGGGUGAGGUAUAUGCAGCUAACUGGAUCACCCGUGCAGAUGUCAGAAGAGGGUUGAUAGUUUGUAAUAUUUAUUUGACUUAUUUUGUACAUUAUCUCCCUUCUGCCACAUGAAAUUCAACUUUAGAAACCAGUAACUUCCCUGGAAAUAAGUCUUCAUAGCAAACCCUUCUCUGAACAGUUUUGGGGCUGUAGCUUAUGGUAAGUAGCUCAUUGACAGCAUUUGGUACUCAAGUUUAUAACUGCUUUUAUUGGGCCUUUCAGUCUUGGGAAAUACUAUGACGCUCUCACUAGAGGGCCAGCAAAUGCAUAAAUCAGAUGUUUACUAUGGUGAAUCAGCCAUUAUGACUUUUUAAAACUUUGCUUUCUGAAAGUAUUUGCUCUCUUUGCUUGAAACAUAUUGUUUGCAACAACACAUUUGCUAAGAAGUUGGCAGAAAAAAAAAGCAAAGACAAAACAGAUACAAAGGAGGAAAUGUUUCAAAAUAAGAGACUCAUUCUUCUAAAAACAUUUGUAUGUUUUUUUUAAGUCUCCAAAUAUGAGCAAUUUUUUUGUUUAUACUGAGACAGACUUGAAACUCAACUAGACUUGACAUGAAUUGGUAAGAAAGCCCUCCUAAAAUCUGCCAGUAGAGGAGAAACAACAUGUUCCUGUAUCCAAAACAUUCAGAGGGGAAUUAUGCAAAGAGAUUACUCAUCACUGGAGCAAAGUCAUGAUUUCAAGUUCCCAGCAGUGAUUUACAUCAGGGACGCACCACCAACCUCUCUCCCUUGUGCAAUAGGAAAGGCUUUUGCCUCCCCUGCUGCUGAUGAUGGCUGAGCCUGGCCUCACCUGCCCCGACCCCUGGUGAACAUGAACAUCUCUGAAUCGCCACAGCACAGAGCCGACAUGAGCCUGCUCCAGCAAUACCCGCUCAGGCAGGUGGCCAGCAAGGUAUUGAACCUUGAAUUAGGAGAGAACGGAUCCAAACGUUCACCUCUCAGCUGUGACUUCAGCUGACCGCUUGCAUGGCAACUUCUAUUUUGAGGGAUGGGAGUAUCUGAAACACAGCCUGAGUUCCUACGUAAAUGGAGCUGGUUCAGGAUUGCUGCCUGUCACAAAGGUAUGGUGAACUUUCAAACGCUGACUGCAUCCAUUCAAGGAACACACAAUGUAGGCUGUAAUUAAACAAACAAAAAGAAUUUACCUUUGUGGUUGCAGAGAAAAGUCUGCAAAUGAGGUGGUGUGGUAUGUGGAUGGCUGAGAAACUGAGAAAUGUGAAAAAAGUGAAACAAAAAGAACCAGAGGCUGUGUUAGUCUUAAAAAUUUCAUAACUUCAAAAGAAAUUUUGGGAUGGUCAAAUCCUUGAAGCAGAGGUUAGCAACUCUGCUUGUUUGUCUGUCCGGCUCUUGGUAUUGGCAGCAAGCUCGCAAAGUUGUACAUAAGUUUAGAAAAAAAAGAAACAAAUCAUAACUUAGUAUGUUUCACAGCUUCUAUCAAUUAUUUCUGAGUGUGUAAACAAGCCAUAAAGGAGUUACAGUUCCUACUCGGGUGAUGCACUUUCUGUGCUCUGCAGCUGGAACAGCUUCACCGUGCUGCUCUGUGACCCAGCCGACCCACAUGCUAUCUGGGGUGUUUCACAUCUGUGGCCUCCUGGCUCAGUUUAACUGCUGGUGCACAGCCCUGCAGGCUGCUCAGGGAGUCCCCUUCUGCCUCCUGAUCCUGGUGGAGGGCACAUUUUAGGCCCUGGCUUUCUUUUGUCCCUGCUCUGACCCAAGGAGCAGCCUAGGAUCUAUGGGGGGCACCUUGUGGGCAUGAAUGCUCAGUUGAGGAAAUCAGAGAGUAGAAACCAUUCAGGAGGGAGAUAAGAAAAAAAUAAAUUGCUUUGGCACUCCUCAUCUGCCCCAGCAGGCUGGCAGGAGGUCCCCGUGGUCAGGGAUGUGCUUCCUUGGGAAUGUGCUGAGCUCUGCGAACCUUGUUCCUGCGUGCCAAAGGCAGGGGGCCCAGGGCAAGAGAAGGGCAGGUGAGGUACAGAAACCAGGACUGAGGAAGGAAGCAUUUGGCCUUGGAGACUCCUCUGGUUUGGUUCUUUGGUUUUCUCCUGCCUUGGACAAGCAUUUCUGAACAUAGGUGUGGGGCUGGCAACAGGCCGCAGAGGGGCGAGAGGCUUUCUGCACAAACCCCAUAUGGGAUUGGGAUGGCAAACGUGUUUCUCUUGCAUUGUUGCAAUGGGUUGUUUUGUCUGCUUUUUGGGAAACAGCAGGGGCCUUCUUUUCCCCAAUUAUGUGAAUAAUUAGAUUUGUUUCAGUAUUUACAAGCGAUUGCUAAACACUGGAGUUUCAAGAAAGCUGGGAGAGCCAGCUCUCUUGGGGCUCAUGCUGAGUGGGUGGAGGAGCGGGAUCUGACUCAGGUUGGCACCAAGGGCUUUCUCAGCCUCUUGGGGGGAGUUAAUCGGAUCCUCAGAAGUGCUCAGGUGGCCUCCCACAGCCUCAAAGCUCAGCCCCAGCUGCCCCCAUGGUGCCUGAGGUCCUUAUCUGGAAAGGGAGCAGGUGUCUGAAAUUACCCCUUAGGGAUGGUGAGGUAAGAGCUGUAUUACUGGUACAUUUGGGGUUAUCUGUCACCAGUUCUGCCCUGCGUGGUGCAGGAUGAGUUAAGGUAGUGCUCUGUUAUACCCUGGCAAGCAACAGCGCAAGCCAGUGAUCAUUUUUAAAUGACUCCUGUGGAUGUAGCCAUGCGUUUAUUCACUGUAUGCUCCUUUCUCUUGGCCGGACAGCUCUGAGGUUUUGUGCUGUGGUGUGCAGCUCCUUGUCCUGCCCAGUGAGACUGAGGCAGGGCUGUGCUUACAGGAUGUGUUGAUGCAAUGUGGUUUACAGGGCUUAAUUUUAAAGAGCCUGUAUUGACCUCUCACUUAGGAGAGAGGCAAUAAGCUGUCCUGCUUACCGGUCAGGAUCUCUCUGGCUCUCUAGCCUUGGCACAGCACCCGCUGCGGUCGCGUCUGCUGCACAAAGGCAGAAGCUGGACAUCUUCUUGCAGGAGGCCUGGGGCUUUCAGGCCAAAGCUCGUUAGCUCUUUUCAACAGGCAUUGAAAGCAAAAUGUGAGCCUUUUAGGACUGGGAUACAUUACGUCUCUGAUGUUGGGCGCAGUGAGGUCUUAAUCCUAGAGACCUGAGGCAUUUCCCAGAUAGCCGAAGGAUUGCAGGGCUGCAAGACACGUCCAGGAGUUGGAGGGGUCAUGCAUGAAGGCCUGCUGAUGUGCCUACACUGGUCCUGACCACAGUUUCUCUUACCCACCCUCAGAAACCUCCUCCAACAGAGGAACCAAUGCCCCCUUGGCCGGGACAUGACGCUAUGCUCCCAGGCAUGGGGUGCACUGAGCCCAACUGAGCAGCGUCACAAAAAUGUCUUGAGGUAAGCUUGCAAAAUGGUCAAAACUUGGAAAAGAAAACAAAGUAUUUUAGUGUUUGUUUCUUUUUCAAAAUAUAUCAAUGUGUCCAUGAUGUAUUUUUUUCUCAAAGGAUCAAACAAACCAAAAGUGUUUCAGCUUGGGGCUGAGUGAGAUCUCUUUGAUUGGUCCCAAAUGAUGGUGUUUUGUUGUUCGGAGUUCCAUUUUCCUGAGGCUAGCAACAUGAUCGUUUGGCAUCAGUCACAAAAUGCUUUCAAUUCCUUGCCCAUUUGUGGUCUGAUGGAUCCUCCCUGCUUUCCUAGCACUUUGGGCUGUCACGCUGUGGGACCUCCACGUUUUCGGGGCUUGUGCCCUCAAGGCAACAAUUGCUCCAGGAUUACAGAAGCCAAUGUUUGCAGAGGCUCUCUGCAUAAUCUGACUCCCAGCUUGUUCCGAACAUCAUUCCUAGUCCCCCAUCAUCCAUCGUGAAGGAUUUCUACCCACUCAUACAAUGAAAAUAUUUCUCUUACUACAUCCUGCGGCAGCAAAAACAUCUGUUUAAAAGAAAAAAAAAUAUUUCUGAGAAGGAAUUUCUUCCAUUUUUAUUUAGAAUAGUAGUAGUAAUAAUGAUAAUGAAAACAAAAAUUAAUAACCACACAGGGCCAGUGCUAGAGGCGAGCAAAAUCACUGCAACUGCUGGCAGCAGCAAAGUAGCUGUGCCCCAGCUGUUUUCUGCCUUGCUUAACAGAUGUCUGGAAAGCCACUGCUGCUGCCAUCGCUCCAGAAGGCAAGAGACAAGGCUGGGGGGCACCAGUGGCUGCCAGAAGUGUGGUUCCUCUUAGCCCCUCUCCUGCAGGAGGUAAAAACCUCAGUUCUGGCUACUUUGCAAUGAAGCCCGGAGCUGCUUCCAUUUAGGCAGUGUUUUGCACCGAGGGAUUUUAUUGACUUGCACGAUCUGAGGACAGCAAGGCAGAGCAUGCCUUGGAGUUACAUCUCAAAGCAUCCUGCAAAAUGCGUUUUGCAAAAUACCUUUUUUAAGGAUCGUUCCCUUAAACAUGGGAACUUAGGUAAAGGGAAGGGUUAAUUGGCUGACCUAAAUGAAUGUACCAGGCCAGUGGCAAAGCUGACUGUUACCUUAGUCUUCAUUCAUAGGGCCAGGAGAGCCUGUGUUAGUCCACAGCAGUGUAUAUAUUACCUACAGAUAAGAAACAGGACAGAAAAUCAAUGUUUUUCUUUAUUUGUGCAGCAAACCCCAGGUAGUGCACCCCAGAAUGAAGCUCAUUUAUAAUAUGCCACCCAAGUCCCGGUGUCCCAAUGCAGGAGAAGUACCCAGUGAAUAUCCCAAUGUCUCUGUGCAGAACCUGCACAGGGAUGAAGAACAUCAUCCUGUCAAGCAGGGGGAGAGGGAAGGGCAUUGUGCAGUUAAGUGCAGUGUGACUUUGUGUGUGAUGUGUGAGGCUUUUUUUCCACUGAUGCAGCAAAAUCUCAAUAGAUGUUGAGCACAGGCAGGGCGAACAGCUGAUCUCUAUGUGAAUUUUGGGAGUAGCUCUCAGUGGGUGGGAUUUUCAAAAUUUGGGCUAUAUUUGCAGAGGAACAGAAGCACAGAGAGCUCCUGGGAAUUUAUCUGGACCAUUUCCCUUAGCUGGAGGGACUUAACAAGAUGGGAUACAUGUGGAUGGGAUGAGAAGUCACAGGCUCUAAUUAUCUCUCAGGAAAUUCAGGUUAAACAUUAGGAAAAAAACUUUCUAAUAGUGAGGACAGUUGAAUAUUAAUGGAAAUUGCCAUGGGAGGCUGUGCACUUAGCAUCACUGGAGGUUUUUAAGAACAGGUUAGAAAAACAUCUGUUAGGAAUGAUGUAUGCUGGAUGAUCCUGACUGGGGAAGUAAUAUGAAUUAAACGACCUCCCAAGUUCCCCUUCAUCCCAAUUUUCUUUUUCCUGCAAUGUUGCAUAGCAGCACUUGGCAGAUAAAUUAGCUUAUGGUGAUUUCAAUAGAUUUUUUUUCCAAAGUAGAUGUUUUUGAGUUCUCUCUCCAGUGUAGCAUGAAGACAUGUUUCAGUCAGCAAACAUGCAUGAGCAAAUACAUCUCAGAAUUAUUAAACUGGGAUGCAAAAGGUACACAUUUAUUUAUUUUUAGGAAAUACAUUUUCAAGAGGAAGAAGAGAGGAAAAAAUAAGGUCACCAAAAAAGAUGCAUCAACUCAGGGAAAUUUGUGGUUAAAUAAGGAAAAUAAAUCUAUAGUAAAUCAAAGGUUCUUGUCUUUGGGGAGAAAAGAGAGGAAAGGAGAGGAGAAAAUGUACAUGUCGUCAGAACAAAACCCUAAAAGAGAAAAAUUCCUAAACAAAUUAAAUUAUACAUCUAAUGAGCACAAACAGACUUCUACUUUGAAAAGAGAUUUAACCCAAUUCUUCAAAGAAACAAAACCCAGCAGUAAUUAGUAAAUGUUUUUAUCUCUUCUGGAUUAGAGCAUCCAAUAAAGCUCAAUUCCUAGAGGUGAUGUUUCUCCUCCCCAAAAUAAAAAUCAUUAGAAGAUGCUGCACAGUCCUCCUUCUGCUUCAGCCCAGUUAGAUGCCACUGAAGUUGGACUGCCUGGGCUGGGCUUAUUUUGCUUAGCAGGACGUCAGCUGUGACCAGCCCCCAAACAGAAAGAUGAGGAAAAGAACCUCAGGAAACUGGGGCUUCUCCCUUGAUGUUCUCAUGAGUUAGGAAUCAGGCCUUAAAUCCCGCUGGUCCCCAGUGUGUUGAAAUAAUUUGCAGCCGGGGUGCGAUGGUGGCGCGCAGAGCAGCCUUGGUGCCCCGUGUGGACGUGCAGUGAGGUGUGCGGUGAUGCAGGCUGUCUUGCUUUGAGGCGGGGGGAACCAUGGAAAGAUGAAUCACCGCCACCAGUAUAGGUCAGGGUGGAAAAAUACAGCUCUGGAAAGGUUUCCAAGCUACUUGGGGAAAAAAUGAAGAUCAAUGAAUGUGCUGCUGCCUUUGACUUUUCAGCCAAUAGAUGCGAUGCCUGCACGCUAAGCCAAGUGGAUGUUAGGAGCCCAGAUGAAGAGUGGCAAAAGCUGCCAAGCAUGUUCUCCAGCCAGUUCCUCCAGCUCAAACAUGCUCAUUGCUCCUCUAUGGAUUCAGGCAUUUCCCAGGGGGCAGCUGCUGCUGCUUUAGUUCCUGUGUUUCCAGAGACUAAGCCAAUCUGCUUCAGCAGAGGUGCCUGGGCUCUGAGCUGUCAGCAAGGUUCGUGUUGGUAGCAUUCAUUAUGCGGUAGCUGCUGCUCUGUCAUUUCCUUUUGCUAACUUGUAUUUUUGGCUGGCUUUCUCCCCUUCAAAGCCAGGGAUCUCUUUAGGCGACCUGUAGGGGCAGGAGCAGCAUGACAGAGCACAGGAAGGGAGACCUGCUGAGCCACAAGCUGCUGGCCAGGGGCUCACUUUCUGCUCCUCUUGUUGCCAGUCCCACCAGAGCUGGGAUGCUGUUUCUGAAUGGAAAACUCCUCGCUUGCUGGGAGUCACACAGAUGUAGCAUUUGUGCAGCUCAGCACCACGCAGGAGCUCGCAGUUUCCAUCAGGUAACAAAUCCCCCUGUCUUUCUAUCCUUCUUUCAUAAUUACAUCAUGUAGAAGUUAAUAUUUUUUUUUCUUCAGACAAAUACCUAAGCAAGAAGGUAUGUCUUUUGUUCACCAGUUAUCCCACAGAAUAGGUAAAAUUCUUCCAUGAUCCGUAUGCAUGUAUUUCUUUUUUCUAUUCCUAUUAUUAUUGAGAUAAAUUUUUGAGAUUAAGUGAGCUGAAGUCAUCUUGGGAAAGCUUAUUGUUAAUUCUUAUCAUUGAGAUAAGUUCCUGUCAUUAGGAAUGGUGAUAAUUAUUAGUAAUAGUGGCAAUAAUUAUUUAUGUAUUGGUAUGUGCAUGUGCACUGUGGUUUCGAAGCAGGUAAAAAUUACUGCUAUUUAACUGAGAUAAAAGUCACAAACUCAGCAGCUGCAAUCAUGGCACUGUUUAAUCACAAGGUAACAUCUUGUAAAACAUCAUCUUCCAAACUCAAGUGAAGGAUUGCAAUACUUUUCAAGCCACAGGCACGUGUAAGGUGAGUUAUGGAUUGGGACUGUCCUGGCAAACAGGCUUGAUCACGUCAUGUCUGAGAUGUACGAAGCAGAAGCAAUGAGUGAGAAAGCACCGUGGGAGGGGAUGCAAGGAAGAGCAGGCACUGAGCCUGGGCAUGCAAGGGGAACGUGUCUGCACGUUUUUUGUUUCCCAGUCACAACGUGUAGCCAAACCAGCAGGAAAGAAGUAGUUUCUCCCUGUCCUGCCACCUUUGUGGCCAAAGUAGUGAAAGUCAUCGGCUGCUUCACUGCAGCAGAUGUAAACCCACUGCUCUCCAAGUAUCCCAGGUGUUUCCAAAGCAAGGCAGUGUGCAGCCAGAGGAGCUCAAACCCUAAGAGCUGUGUUCUUCACUGCCACAAACAGUUCGGCAGUCGGUGGGGUUCAUCCCUGGCCUGCACUGUGCAAGGAGGCAGCCGGGACAGCCGCAGCCUUUGGUCCUGCAGUUAGUGUCUGGUAUGGAGUGGAUGUCUCGAGUGCCUGCAACUCCUUUUAUUUGUUUCUGUUUUUCUUUAAGCACCAUAGGAUUUUUUUUUACAUUUAUCAGACCAAAGAAGUACUACUUUUUGAAUUCUUGAAUUUUUAGUUUGUGAACAUGGCAAGAAAAGCAGCUCCCAGUAAAGGCCAUGAAGUCAGAUCCAAAAACAACCAAAAGCCUUCUCUUCUUCCUAGGCCAGCUGCAGACGGGCAGGGCUGGAUGCAGCCCCAGCGAAGGGAGUGCCACGGUUCUGAGCUCUGCCAGGGCCAGAGCUGGUCUCCAAAGCACCAACCUGGCAGGGAUGAGUGUGAAAAGUCCAGAAUUUCUCCAAACCCUCCUGGCGAGCAGCCAGCUGCCCCAGGCAACGCAAGGCCGAGCAGCCAGACCAGGUGCUGCCUGGCUGUGCCAUGCUCCUGCCCUUACUGUAUCAUCUGCGGAAGGCAGCGUUUCUGCCUCUGCUGCAGCGGUAGAUAAUGCUCUGUGCCUGCUGUUGCUGCUCUCCUAUAAUUACCAGAAACGCUGCUUUAAGAAGUUACAACUUCCUGGAAUGAUGUGAAAAAUGAACCGUUUAGAGCACCAGUGAGUAAUAGGUAAUUGCAGGCUGAAGCAUCUUUAAUCACUUUCAGCCUUAAGUACAUUUUUGAAGAGCGUGGCUCAUUAUUACCUUGCAGAUCUUGAUGGAGUUGUACAAUUCUGGUAGCCUAGAUUACAAAUGAAAAAAGAACUUUGUACACAGGGGGACUGGAUGGCAAUUCCGGCACAGCCAGGCCCACGGGGGACAGAGGUUUAAGCCCCUGCUCUGCUGCAGGCUUCUGUAUAACUGCAGAAAAAUCAGAGGGAUGUGUGUAUACAGAGGGACUGUAGUGCUGCAGUGGUCUCUUAAAAUCCUGGUGGUCCCAGUGGUCCUGUAAAAUCGGAUUCCUUAGGCAUAUAAAUAUGUAAUGAGAAGAGUGACCCCCGAGAGGCUGUGUAUAGGCUAAGAAUUACGUAUAGUAGCCAGCAGGAAAGGUUAAGACUUCGCUUGGUUGCUGCCUGGAGAAGGGUGCCAAACUUCUUCUGGGACUUUCUGUGGUCCCAGAUACAUGCCUUCAGAUCCAUAAAAUGAAGGUAAGUGUUAGUGCACAGGUAAAUACAUUGACAUGAGAAGCUCAACUGUAGCUUUCAAGUGGUAUACAUGCAGACAUUUAAUAGAGGGUGAAAGGGCCAUUUUCUUUUCAAUUAACAUCUACACAGCAUGUUUUGCAGGGCUUGGGCAUGCUCUGUGCCUGGGCAGUGCUGAACUGAGGAGGAACCGGUGCUGGUGUGUCUGACCUUCCUUUGUAGGGCAGUGCCUUCCCACGCCGUUUCUCAUCGCCUGCCCCCGUCUUGUCCCACUCCUGGCUGCUCUCCUCACCAGGGUGACCAGCAGCAGCGUGCACUCAGCCAAAGAGAUGUUUCUGCCUGGGACUUUGAAAGCGAAGAAACCACACCACCUGGCUGUAGUGAGGAGAAGGGAGGACGGCGUGCUCCAACCACAGGCAGAUGCCCUCAUCCCUCCCAGAGUUUUUCUAGGGGACAGGUCCUUAGCAAUAAAGAGAUACUGCGGUGCAACACUUCUCAGGAUUAAUCUGUCACCGGUGUCAAACCAGAGCAUCGAGGAUAUAAAUCUUCAGGCAACUUCUGGCCUCACUGCAGCCAGGUUAUGCAAUAUGUGAAGUACAUUCAGCAGCACACUGCUGGAAGUGGUUCUUCUGGAUUCUCCAUUUGUGUAAUGCAGGGUGAUGUGAGUAUCAAGGCAUAUCACUGAUCUUCUCAGUUUUGCCACAGAUAAUCAUAUGCACACAUAAAGUCUUUCUCCAGAACACAUCCAGGAAUUGCCUGCAAACAAACUUGAUGUUUGUCUCCCACAGGUAGGUUUUUAACAGUGGCCACAUGCACAUAGCCUCUAUGUUCUGCAUGCUUGUUUCAGCUAUCAAAAUCAAACGUGUCUAGAGUUCCCCCAAACAAAACAACCUCUCCAAAUUGCCUCAUACUGCAAUGUUAAGUCACCAAGUUGAAUUUCCUAGCUAGCCAACUGUGCUGUUUAAUUAGGGUGCCUUUCCAAAUCACCUUCAAUUGCACCGUUGUAACAUAUGGGUUGAGAUUUAGCCAUAUGGUCCAAACACAGAAACAAAGCACACCACUAAUUGUCUGAACACACAGAACCGCAGCACACUCAGCCAGGCAGAGAAUAUGAAGAGACGUCCUGUUUUGUAGUAGCACCAUGUUUAUUUUACUAUGUGACGUAUACAUUUAAAAUGAACAGAGGUCCAGGACUCCAGGAUCAGUUCUGGUCUCUGCAGUUCAUGGUCAAGCUAAGCAGGUCAACGCUAAUGUGAGUAGCUCUACAGGAGCAACAAGAAGUGCCAUAAGAUGCACAUGGAGAUGCGUGAUAACCUGAGCACUUGGUGCUACCGAACAAAGAAGAGCAUCAAAAAUGAAUCCUCUUCAUCCAUGAGAGGAAGGAGAUGGAAAGCCACCUGCAGAUUCCUGGCCAAGUCGGAGCACUUGCAGUAAGUUACCUGGGAUGGUGCAUGGCUAAGGUAAUCUCUCUCCCUUCAUCAGGAACAGACAGCACAAGCCCUGUUAAUCUCCUUUACCUCCUCAGGUAAAAGUCUGGACAUUUUCCAAAGGAUGCAGUUCCCUUCUGCUCAGAGUUUUUACACUGAGUGGUGCAGUGUUGCAAGUAAUUUUUGCUAUUUCCUAUAUUUAUGACAGACCAAAUCCUGCAGCCUUCUGCAGAGCACAGUCUGCACUUGCUUGUAGAUGCACCUUGAAAGUGGUGGUUGUAUUCAACAGGGAAAAAAUAACCCUCAAGCAGAACAUUUACUUUCCUUCUUUAUGCAUAAUGCAAGCAUUUAUUUUCUUCCAAUCUGUAAGACCAAUAAACUGGACUCGCUGAUUUCACUUUGAUAUGAUAAGGUAGCAAACAGGUAGUGAUGCUAAUAGAGAAGAAGCUGUUACUUCAGCUGAAUUAAUGAAAGUUUUUAAAAAGAACAUGAAGCUGUAUGCACCCCUAAGGUACAUAUAUCAAAAAAAUACAUUAAUCCAAGUAGGUUCCAGUCUAGUUUCAGGUAAGAUUUAUGUGCUACACAGAAUCAAGUUUGAGAUUAAGAAAAUGUGUAUUACUUACUUAUAUUGGGCUGUGGUUAUCAGAACAGCCAGAGGGUGUUUCAUGAAACUGGGUGUCAGUGAAUGUCUUGUGAGAAUUUUCUUCCUUAUUUAUUCACUUGAAAUUGUGUCCAGAGAUGCUAGUCAAAGCCAAGGGUCACCUAUUAAUAAGUAUUUGUAGAUCUCCCUGGCAAUGAUGUUAAGAACAAAUACCUUAACGUCACUUAUUUUUUACUAUGACAACAUAAACUGUUCUUCCACAGCCAGGAAGAGUUAAAUUAAUCUGAGUUUUAACAUCAGAGAAUUAGUCUUAUCUCAGAGCUGCUCAUUCACUUUCAACUCAUACUGGAGAGUGAUAUAAAACACUUGAUAUACCUUUCAAAAACAGACACUGUGUAAAAAUAUGGGAUUGCACUUGAGACAUUGUUUUUGCAAAUCCCUGUGCAUCCAUGAAAGAUUCUCCCCGCUGGAACACUGAUGUCCUCUCCUGGGCUAAGCUGAAGACAGUAGAAAGGUCCCAAUCUCAAGGUCUCCAGUUUAUCACCUUUUUUUUUUUUUUUUUUCCCCUUUGCUAUUAAACAGACAGAAGUAAACUAGGGAUGAAAACAGAAACCCAAGCUGUGAAGUUUGGCCCUUCAAGGUAGAUUAAAAUUUAUCUGCAAGGCUGCCAGCUAUCCUACAUUCAAAGGGUUAUGGAAACCACUCAGACUUUGGGGCUAGAGACCUUAAAUCCCCUUCCACCAGGAAAACCGUUGGCAUCACGUGCUGACCCUGUGGGCAUUUACAGGGAGCUGCAGCACAAUAACACAGCAAUGCUCCAGCCAUGCCAGAGUGGAGAAAACAGGAUUCUUCUAGCCUUUUCUUAGGUAUUUUUUUAAAUAACCCAUCUUUCACUCUCUUGCAAUCACAUUGAUGAGCUUCAUUUGUCGAAACAGCAGCUCCAGGUAUGCCAUGGGGCUCAAAAGGAGGAAAAAAAAAAAAAAAGGGCAAAAGCAAUAGGACUUCAUCCAAGAACUUCCUUGAAAUUCCAAGAACUUUCAUCUCCGUAUGGUGACUUAAGUUAUGUAGCAUCCCAGCUGAAGGCCAUAAAAAAGAAAUGUUUUCCAGGAAAAGCUGCAUGCCAGCAGUACAAAACUUAAAGAUAAGAUACACGGGGUAUAUUUUACCAUGUUAAUUCUUACUUGUCAUUGAGUCAGUUUCUUUCAAAAGUAAAUAACAAGACAUGCACAUAAAACAUUUAUGUUUCCUGCCAUGACAUGUGCUGAUGAAACUUUUCUUGCCUCAGUUCCUCAGCCACAGGAGUUGCAGUUGUCAAGAGAUGUAGGUCUUAGCUCCACAUUUCAGUCACUUCAAGACCCUUCCUCUGCCUCUUCAGUCAAUGUGAGCCAGGAAAGCAUCCUGAACAGGACUAAUGUUUAGCACCUGAAUGUUUCACAAGGUCCAUAACUGCGAGCAGGAUUUCAGUUAAUAACAGGUUCCCUCCCACUGACUUGGUUCCACAGCCAUGCACGGGUAACCCUGUAAUGCUGAUGCUGUGGAUUUUCUGGCUGAUUUUUGAUUUCACAGUAAUGGGUUUGUUCAAAGAGAAUAUAUUUAAUCUAUAGAUCCAAACUGGGAUUAUUAGGAAAGGUCACCUCCCCCCCGCCCCUCCCCGACUCUGCUCAUCCUCAUAGUCUCUCAUUUCUGUUUGACAUCAUCAGCAAAGCCUGAAUUUUAAUAUUUGUUAUAUUUAGGGCAGAUGUUCUACCCAGCCAGAAUCAAGGAUUAGGAAUUCAUUUUGUAAGGCAUUACAUAAAAAUAUAUGAAAAGUUGGACCCUGGCUCCAACUCUGUAAGUUCAUCUGAGCAUAACUGUAAAAGCAGGACCAGAAUCUAAAGAGAAGCCAAUAUAAUUGGUGCUAGUAAAUAUUUUUAUAUUUUUUUCCUUUUUUUUUUUUCCCCUUCCCCUGCAGGAGAGCUUCUGUACACAGAAAUAUUGAGACAGUGGAUGGCUCCUUUGCGAAUUCUGAUAUUUUGUACCAAACAAGAUUAUUGAGGAGCAAUAAGAAUGACCCCAGCUGUUGUCUGCUGGCAGAAACCUUUUAAAUGGCGUAAGGACACAGAGUCACUCAAUAAUUACAAGGAAGGAAGACCACAUAGCUUAAAGUGACCAGCUAGUAAUCAAUUCCUGCUGUGAAAAUUUUUGUCCUAGCCAUACAAUAUGUGAAGAAAAAUGAGAAGCAUGCAUAAAAAAAUCGGCAUUGCUUCAUAAAUGGAAAAAAUGAAAGUUCAUUCAAAAAUGAAUAAUGUAGCCAGCAUGAUAAGAAAUCCCAUUGUUUUAAAAUAAUCCCUA